AGUGAACGCUGGCGGUAGGCCUAACACAUGCAAGUCGAACGGCAGCACAGGAGAGCUUGCUCUCUAGGUGGCGAGUGGCGGACGGGUGAGGAAUACAUCGGAAUCUGCCCAGUCGUGGGGGAUAACGUAGGGAAACUUACGCUAAUACCGCAUACGACCUUCGGGUGAAAGAGGGGGAUCGCAAGACCUCUCGCGAUUGGAUGAGCCGAUGUCGGAUUAGCUAGUUAGCGGGGUAAUGGCCCAUCAAGGCGACGAUCCGUAGCUGGUCUGAGAGGAUGAUCAGCCACACUGGAACUGAGACACGGUCCAGACUCCUACGGGAGGCAGCAGUGGGGAAUAUUGGACAAAGGGCGCAAGCCUGAUCCAGCCAUACCGCGUGGGUGAAGGAGGCCUUCGGGUUGUAAAGCCCUUUUGUUGGGAAAGAAAUCUUUCAGGCUAAUACCCUGGGAGGAUGACGGUACCCAAAGAAUAAGCACCGGCUAACUUCGUG
rnacentral:rRNA from 1 species